rnacentral:lncRNA from 1 species
AGUUCAUUAUCUAAGAUGAAAAAUGCUUUUCAACCUUCGCUUAUUGGGCUCAUUAUGCUCACCGUUACUCUGUUAGGUUGGUAUUUAUAUUUACAAUUUUAUUAUUAUAUUCAAUAAUCAUUUAAAAUUAAAGUUAUUCUGAUAGCAUAUUAUUUUAUAUACUGAUAUAAUUUGUAUACUGAAUUAUGUAAUGUUGAGUUUAGCAAAGUUUCCAGAAUAAUCAAUGAUUAAAAAAAGAAAAUGUUUAUACUUUAAUUUUUUUUUUCCCUAUAAAUAUGCAAAAAAAGACACUUUUUAAGCAUAUGUUUUACCAAAAACAUUAAUUUUCUAUCGUAAAUACAAACACUAAAAUUAUGUUUUAACUAUUAUAGUAACAGGAGCAACGACGAUUGGUCAGAAAGGAGUACCACAUCCUUGCUUCGAAGACUACAAACAGAAAAAUGGAAAAUGUAACAAGGAGGAUUGUAUAGCUGAAUGUGCCAGAAAAAGGAAUGGAAUUGGUUCAUGCGGGGGGAUGAUGGGAUUUGAGCGUUGCUUUUGCUUUUAUCAAAAGAAUAAAAAGAAUAGUUGUUUACCCUGAUUUUUUAUCUCCAUUGGAACUCAAAUAAUAUUUAUAAUAAUACAUCCAAAGGAAAAAUAAUAAUAUUAUUAAUUGUUGUUAGCGUUUGUGGCAUAACAAAAUGUAUUAUGUUACCAAUAUAAAUAACAAAUAACAAAUAAUAAUAUAUUGUUCGUCU